rnacentral:rRNA from 2 species
GGGUUGUGAGGUUAAGCGACUAAGCGUACACGGUGGAUGCCCUGGCAGUCAGAGGCGAUGAAGGACGUGCUAAUCUGCGAAAAGCGCCGGCGAGGUGAUAUGAACCUUUGACCCGGCGAUGUCCGAAUGGGGAAACCCAGUGUGAUUCGUCACACUAUCGUUAACUGAAUACAUAGGUUAACGAGGCGAACCGGGGGAACUGAAACAUCUAAGUACCCGAGGAAAAGAAAUCAACCGAGAUUCCCCCAGUAGCGGCGAGCGAACGGGGAGCAGCCCAGAGUCUGAAUCAGCUUGUGUGUUAGUGGAAGCGUCUGGAAAGUCGCACGGUACAGGGUGACAGUCCCGUACACGAAAACACACAGGUUGUGAACUCGAAGAGUAGGGCGGGACACGUGGUAUCCUGUCUGAAUAUGGGGGGACCAUCCUCCAAGGCUAAAUACUCCUGACUGACCGAUAGUGAACCAGUACCGUGAGGGAAAGGCGAAAAGAACCCCGGCGAGGGGAGUGAAAAAGAACCUGAAACCGUGUACGUACAAGCAGUGGGAGCACCUUCGUGGUGUGACUGCGUACCUUUUGUAUAAUGGGUCAGCGACUUAUAUUCUGUAGCAAGGUUAACCGUAUAGGGGAGCCGAAGGGAAACCGAGUCUUAACUGGGCGUUAAGUUGCAGGGUAUAGACCCGAAACCCGGUGAUCUAGCCAUGGGCAGGUUGAAGGUUGGGUAACACUAACUGGAGGACCGAACCGACUAAUGUUGAAAAAUUAGCGGAUGACUUGUGGCUGGGGGUGAAAGGCCAAUCAAACCGGGAGAUAGCUGGUUCUCCCCGAAAGCUAUUUAGGUAGCGCCUCGUGAAUUCAUCUUCGGGGGUAGAGCACUGUUUCGGCUAGGGGGCCAUCCCGGCUUACCAACCCGAUGCAAACUACGAAUACCGAAGAAUGUUAUCACGGGAGACACACGGCGGGUGCUAACGUCCGUCGUGAAGAGGGAAACAACCCAGACCGCCAGCUAAGGUCCCAAAGUCAUGGUUAAGUGGGAAACGAUGUGGGAAGGCACAGACAGCCAGGAUGUUGGCUUAGAAGCAGCCAUCAUUUAAAGAAAGCGUAAUAGCUCACUGGUCGAGUCGGCCUGCGCGGAAGAUGUAACGGGGCUAAACCAUGCACCGAAGCUGCGGCAGCGACGCUUAUGCGUUGUUGGGUAGGGGAGCGUUCUGUAAGCCGUUGAAGGUGUGCUGUGAGGCAUGCUGGAGGUAUCAGAAGUGCGAAUGCUGACAUAAGUAACGAUAAAGCGGGUGAAAAGCCCGCUCGCCGGAAGACCAAGGGUUCCUGUCCAACGUUAAUCGGGGCAGGGUGAGUCGACCCCUAAGGCGAGGCCGAAAGGCGUAGUCGAUGGGAAACAGGUUAAUAUUCCUGUACUUGGUGUUACUGCGAAGGGGGGACGGAGAAGGCUAUGUUAGCCGGGCGACGGUUGUCCCGGUUUAAGCAUGUAGGCGGAGGUUCCAGGUAAAUCCGGUACCUUUUAACGCUGAGGUGUGAUGACGAGGCACUACGGUGCUGAAGUAACAAAUGCCCUGCUUCCAGGAAAAGCCUCUAAGCAUCAGGUAACAUUAAAUCGUACCCCAAACCGACACAGGUGGUCAGGUAGAGAAUACCAAGGCGCUUGAGAGAACUCGGGUGAAGGAACUAGGCAAAAUGGUGCCGUAACUUCGGGAGAAGGCACGCUGAUAUGUAGGUGAAGCCCCUGCGGGUGGAGCUGAAAUCAGUCGAAGAUACCAGCUGGCUGCAACUGUUUAUUAAAAACACAGCACUGUGCAAACACGAAAGUGGACGUAUACGGUGUGACGCCUGCCCGGUGCCGGAAGGUUAAUUGAUGGGGUUAGCGGCAACGCGAAGCUCUUGAUCGAAGCCCCGGUAAACGGCGGCCGUAACUAUAACGGUCCUAAGGUAGCGAAAUUCCUUGUCGGGUAAGUUCCGACCUGCACGAAUGGCGUAAUGAUGGCCAGGCUGUCUCCACCCGAGACUCAGUGAAAUUGAACUCGCUGUGAAGAUGCAGUGUACCCGCGGCAAGACGGAAAGACCCCGUGAACCUUUACUAUAGCUUGACACUGAACACUGGUCCUUGAUGUGUAGGAUAGGUGGGAGGCUUUGAAGCGUGGACGCCAGUCUGCGUGGAGCCGUCCUUGAAAUACCACCCUUUAAUGGCUGGUGUUCUAACGUAGACCCGUGAUCCGGGUUGCGGACAGUGUCUGGUGGGUAGUUUGACUGGGGCGGUCUCCUCCCAAAGAGUAACGGAGGAGCACGAAGGUUAGCUAAUCCUGGUCGGACAUCAGGAGGUUAGUGCAAUGGCAUAAGCUAGCUUGACUGCGAGAGUGACGGCUCGAGCAGGUGCGAAAGCAGGUCAUAGUGAUCCGGUGGUUCUGAAUGGAAGGGCCAUCGCUCAACGGAUAAAAGGUACUCCGGGGAUAACAGGCUGAUACCGCCCAAGAGUUCAUAUCGACGGCGGUGUUUGGCACCUCGAUGUCGGCUCAUCACAUCCUGGGGCUGAAGUAGGUCCCAAGGGUAUGGCUGUUCGCCAUUUAAAGUGGUACGCGAGCUGGGUUUAGAACGUCGUGAGACAGUUCGGUCCCUAUCUGCCGUGGGCGCUGGAGAAUUGAGGGGGGCUGCUCCUAGUACGAGAGGACCGGAGUGGACGCAUCACUGGUGUUCGGGUUGUCAUGCCAAUGGCACUGCCCGGUAGCUAAAUGCGGAAAAGAUAAGUGCUGAAAGCAUCUAAGCACGAAACUUGCCCCGAGAUGAGUUCUCCCUGAGACUUUAAGUCUCCUGAAGGAACGUUAAAGACUAUGACGUUGAUAGGUCGGGUGUGUAAGCGCAGCGAUGCGUUGAGCUAACCGAUACUAAUGAACCGUGAGGCUUAACCUUACAACGCCGAAG